UACGGGGGGAGCAAGCGUUGUUCGGAUUUACUGGGCGUAAAGGGCGGGUAGGCGGCCACCGCAAGUCAGUUGUGAAAUCUCCGGGCUUAACCCGGAAAGGUCAACUGAUACUGCGGGGCUAGAGUGCAGAAGGGGCAACUGGAAUUCUCGGUGUAGCGGUGAAAUGCGUAGAGAUCCGGAGGAACACCGACGGCGUAGGCAGCGCCCUGGACGACACCUGACGCUGAGGCACGAAAGCUGGGGGAGCGAACAGG
rnacentral:rRNA from 1 species